rnacentral:lncRNA from 1 species
GUUUAUAGAAGUUUUAGGACAAUUGGUUGUUGCAGUUAAUAAGUAACGGAGUAUUUAUGCGAAUAUUAACAAUAAUAAUAUUUACAAUAAAGUUCAUAAUAACAAAGUUAAUAAUAAAGUUCAUAACAAUUAAUAAUAAUUACGAUAAAGUUCAUAAUAUUUACAUAGCGGAGACCGUACAAAUAUACAAAAAACAAAAGGAAACGUGGGUUAUCAGUGAUAGGCAAGCCGACUGCUUAUGUAAACCGUGGAAAUAUCUCCUCGGAUAAGGGCUAUAUGCUGAAAACUUUUAAUAAUUGUUAGUAUUAUUUUUAUGAUAGCAC